rnacentral:sRNA from 1 species
UUCGCCUGCAGUUUAUGAGGAUGAGUACCUCCGCAGGAGGUUCGAGCCUCGCGAAGCGAGACAACGUUGCUUUAGCAACGGC